rnacentral:misc_RNA from 1 species
GAUGAAGAACGCAGUGAAAUGCGAUAAGUAAUGUGAAUUGCAGAAUUCAGUGAAUCAUCGAAUCUUUGAACGCACAUUGCGCCCGUCAGUAUUCUGGCGGGCAUGCCUGUUCGAGCGUCAUUACGCCCCUCAAGUCCCCUGUGGACUUGGUGUUGGGGAUCGGCGAGGCUGGUUUUCCAGCACAGCCGUCCCUUAAAUUAAUUGGCGGUCUCGCCGUGGCCCUCCUCUGCGCAGUAGUAAAACACUCGUAACAGGAGCCCGGCGCGGUCCACUGCCGUAAAACCCCCCAACUUUUUAUAGUUGACCUCGAAUCAGGUAGGACUACCCGCUGAACUUAAGCAUAUCAAUAAGCGGAGGA